rnacentral:rRNA from 1 species
GACGAACGCUGGCGGCGUGCUUAACACAUGCAAGUCGAACGGAGUGGCGAACGGUUGCGUAACACGUGGGUGAACUUCCUUGCCCUUCGGGUUAAGCUUGGGAAACUGGGGGUAAUACCUGAUAGUGCAAGAUGUGCUCGCGGCCUAUCAGCUUGUUGGUGGGGUAAUUGCCUACCAAGUCGUCGACGGGUAGCCGGCCUGCGCGCGUGUACGGCCACAUUGGUACUGCGAUACGGCCCAGACGCCUACGGGAGGCAGCAGUGGAGAAUAUUGCACAAUGGGCGGAAGCCUGAUGCAGCGACGCCGCGUGGGGGAUGAAGGCCUUCGGGUUGUAAACUCCUUUCGACAGGAACGCGGUACCUGUAUAAGAAGCACCGGCUAACUACGUGCCAGCAGCCGCGGUAAUUC